GGAAAAGAACGGAAAUGAGCAGAAGAUUUUUUGGACCGAGUAAAAUGCCUAUUCUGCCCUUGGUCGUUCCUCACUUGACAUUUCUAUAUAGUAGAUAAAGAUCUGGCCAGGCAAUUUAUUAUGAACAAAACAUCUCUGUUCAAGAAUUGGUCCCGGCCCAAUACUGUCCCAAACCCAAAAAAUAAAAUAAACAUAUCAAAAAAAAUCAACAUCCUACAAAACUUGAAAUUAGAUCCGAUAAGUGACUCGCCUCUUCACUUUCCUCACCUUCUUCAUCAACAACUUCAAUGAAACUCUGCUGAAGUGAUGAGAUAUCCAUGGUCAGCUGCUCACAUAAUGUACGAUCACCCAUGAUUGGAUACGAAAGCAUGCUCGAGUAGAUGUCACUAAGGGCGUUUAAAAUCUCACAAAUAUCAGGACUCUACCUUAUUGAGGACUCCAUUAGGAAAUGCUUCCAACAACCAUGGCAUUCUUUAAUAGGGGAAUGUAACUCUCCGUCAUUCACCUAUUAACUUUAUAAGGUCAUAAUCUAUUGAUAAAUUUCAUCUCUUUAUAGGUUGAGCUCUUAUAGGAACUAAUAUCACUAUUCAUGGAUGAAACUACAAUAGAUUUGUGACAUUUUACCAUCUACAGCUGUAGAGCAUGAGCCACCUACACCAAAUCAGGGAAAUUCUUUCUUAGGAUAUUGAUUAUCUCCAGCUUCAUCGACAUAUUCUAAGAUUUGGAGACUGAAGGCCUAGAAAAAGACAUUCUUCUACUAGAAGAUGCUUGAUUAAAAAAUUGUAAUCUUAGAAUUUUAAAUCUAUAGAUCCAUCUGGAUAUUGUACUAUUUUUUCAAUGUUUGAAUUUUCUUCUUCUACUUCUAGCUCCGUUAUGGAGUCGAAAUGCCAAUUAUCUUUUAUUUAUACAUCAUCCCAUUUUAUUAUUU